UACGGAGGGUGCAAGCGUUGCUCGGAAUUAUUGGGCGUAAAGGGUAGGUAGGUGGUCUUAUUUGUCUGGGGUGAAAUCCUUGGGCUUAACUCAAGAAGUGCCUCAGAAACGGUAAGACUAGAGUCCCAGAGAGGGUCGUGGAAUUCCCGGUGUAGCGGUGAAAUGCGUAGAUAUUGGGAGGAACACCAGUGGCGAAGGCGGCUCACUGGACCGGUUCUGACGCUGAGGCGCGAAAGCGUGGGGAGCAAACGGG
rnacentral:rRNA from 1 species